GGUUCCGGCUGGGGCCAACCAGAGAAGGCGCGAGGAUGAUGAUGACAGUAUUUAUUGAGCGCUUGUAUAUGCUAAGCGCAUUGCAUGGGUUACUCUCGUCUCCUGCGUAAAACUCUCCAAGGGCUGCGCACUGCUUUGGGGACAAUUCCAAGUUCCCCACGGUGCCCAAAAACGCUCUCCAUCAUCUAGCCCAGCCUGCCUCUCUCACUUCAUCCUGGUUUACUCAGCCACACUGGAUUUCCCUUUGUACCGCGAAGCUCCCUUUGGACCCAAGACCCUUGCUCUUCUCUCUGUAUCAGAGUUUCUCAACUUUGCCACUAUGGACGUUCGGGACUAGAUAAGUUUUUGGUGUAGGGGCUGUCCUAUGCAUUGUAGGAUAUGGGGCAGCAUCCCUGGCCUUUACCCACUAGUUGCCAGAACGAUCUCCCCCCACCUCCCUAGUUAUGGCUACCAGAAAUCCCCAGGCGUUGCCAAAUGUGGAGCGGUGGUAGAGACAUGAAAUCAGCAGAGCUGAGGACCACUGCUACGCGUGGAAGCCCACGUCAUCCGAGCAUCCAUGGCAGGCAGUCCCUCAGCGCAGUCAACCCAUUCGGUGUUGCAGCCCACCUUCCUGCAAAGUCGCUGUCGGUGAAAUGGCUGUGUUGUGUUUUCUUCAUAGUUCCAGCUCUUUGAAAUCCUGCUUCUUAUUUAGUGCUUGCCGUGUGUUGUCUGGGGUCUCCGUUUAGGCUCCAAACAGCAUGGCCCCCUGUGUUUUCUUCACUACUCCACUGUCUGCCCCUCCCAGAGCUAGAGGCUAGGUGCUCCAUGUUUGUGGAAUGAAUACAUUAGGUAUCUCAUUUAAUCUUCACAAGAUCUCUUUGCGGUAAGCAUGAUUGCUCUUUCCAUUUUACAAAUCUGGAAGCUGAAACUCUGGGGGAUUAGGUUAAUUUAUCCUGGGAUACCUAUGGGGAAAGCUGGGAUUUCAACCCAGACAGUCAGACUGCAGGACCCAGAUCUCUUAAUCACUCCAAGAAUCCACAGCCGGCAGGAUGUUAGAAACAUCCGGGCCCCUCACUUCCCGCAGGAGAAGAGGAGACCCAGAGAGCUGAAGUUCUAAAGUCGUUCAGCUAGAGAAUGGGAAAGUAAGAUUAAAAUCUGGCUUUCUUGCUUGCCAAGGCUAGCCUCCAGAUUUCCCAUGAAAGUGACUGGGUGAAUCAACCAAUGAGACUUCAUAUUAAUAUAAUACUGUUAAUAAUAAUUAAUGUUUUUAAUAUUAAAAGAAAGGGAUUGACAGAUUUUGGAUAGGUUAAUGGAUUUUUUUAACUUUCUGUUAUGGAAAAUAUCAAACACCUCUGAGCCCAUGGCCCACCUUCAACAAUUAUCAGCUCAAUGCUAAUGUGCUUUAUCCAUACUCUCGCCAUCCUCCCAUCCCUCCUCCUAUUAUUUUGAAGCAAAUCCUAAAUAUCAUAUCAUUCAUCUGCAUAUAUUUUAGUCUGUAUUGCUAAAAAAAUAAGAACCUUCUCUUUUUUAAACUUAGCCACAAUACCAUUAGCACACCUAAAAAAUGAACAAUAAUUCCUUAAAAUCAUCAAAUAUCCCAUGAGUGUUCAACUUUCCAAUGAUCUCAUCAAUGUUUAAAAAAGAUUGUUACAGUUUGUUUGACUCCACACAUUGCAGUUCAUAAUAUGUCUCAUAAAGUCUCUUUUAGUCUAUGAGUUUCCCCUCCAUCUCCUUUUUUCUUUGCUUUUUUUUAAGGAACUGGGCCAUUUGUCAUCUUGUUUUCCAUAGUCUCUGUCAUUUAACGUUUUUCUCUAUCCACUCUAUUUCCUAAAAGUUUGUUGUUGGAUCUAGCUCACUCGUAUCCAGUUCAAUUUUUUGGCAAAAUUUUAUUUCUUUGUGUUCUUCCAUCAGGAGGCACAUAGUGGUGGGGAGGAGUCUUUCUAUCUUUUUAUGAUAUUAGCAGCCAUUGUUAAAGUCUAGAUUCAUUAAUGUUGAUAUUAUAACUCUGUCAUUCCUUCUUCAUUUAUCUGCUGAAACAUUUCCAUAAAGAAAAGCUUCCCCUCAGCUACUGUUUAGCACAGUUCAUGUCAGAAAGGCAGGAUAAAUGUUUGAUGCCUUUCCUUUACUCACAAAUUUUCAAAAUUAUGUGUUCACAAUGGUGAUCAGUAUUUUUUCAGUGUCAUUACCAACUCAAGAAUUUAAACAUAUUUGAUAUAUUUCAUGUCCUUGGUGCUUACAUUGUCUCAGGAUUGGCCAAUGGGAGCCUCUUAAAGUCAGCUCUGUGUCUUUCUGAUGAGACCCUUGACUUAAGGUCAACUAGAAUGCCACUGCAGGAGGGCCCUGGGCUGUUUCGGAGAUAAGAGCAAUGAAAUGUCCAGUCCUGGACUGAUCAAAACAGGAGGCUUACUUACCAGGCCCACUCUGGCUAAAUAUAAGACAGCAGUCUCUUAUUCGUCACCAACAAACACACUUAACCUCUAGCCAAUGGCUUAUUUGUUGGUUUCUAUAUUUGUAAUGCUCACUUGUCAUUUGUAUGUCUUCUGGUUGUUCAUCUCUCCAUGGUCUAUUAACGUCUCUUAAAGGCCACAAUCAGAAGGCGUGACUGUAGCACCUUGUGCACAUAGUUAUUAAACUAAGUAGUUGUUUUAUUAUCGUGUUGUUGUUGUUUAAAGAGGCAGGAGAAGGUAUUUCCAGACUAUCGAUCUGUAGAAGGGUGAAGUUCAAGUGAAGUCUAAAAUGUUUUCCCCAAGGAGAGAUGAGAGUCCAUAUAACCUGCUGAAUUUUGUUUUUUUCAUAUCCCGUAUAAUAUCAAGGUAGGGUUUUACUUUUAAAAAUGUCAAGGCAAGUUUGCAGUGUGUCCAGUAAGACUAUUUAUUGACUUUAAUUUCCUUAACCCUCACAACAACGUGGAAGGAGGGUGUUAUUAUCCCCAUUUUAUAUGUGAGGAAACUGAGGCUCUGAAAUGCUGGCUUGCCCAAGGUCACGCCGGAAAUGAAGCAUGGAGCAGGGAUACAAACCCAGAUCUGGCUGCAAGGCGCCAGUUUCUGCUUCUAGUAACUGAAUAUUGAGCCUGCUUAUUGGAUUUGCAAAACAGAAAUGACCUUCAGAGGUGUUAGCACCGCAGCCAGAGUGAUCUUCCAAAAUGCAAAUGUGAUUCAGGCAUCCCCAGUCUCCUCCUGCUGCUUAAAGCCUUUAGGCGACUUCCCAUUGCUCUUAGGAUGAAAGAAAACCUAGGAGGCUUGGAGGCCUUGCACAAGUGGCCUUCUUCCUACCCAUCAUGCUGAAUCUCCCCAAACCUGCCCCAGCUCCACUAUGCCCCAGGUGCACAGGUACCACCCUAAGUCUCCACCACUCUGCUCCAGCCACACUUCUUUCUCAGUUUUUUAUAUUCUCUUCUCUCCCACCUCAGGGCCUUUGCACAUGCUGUUGUUGCUUCCAUAGACAGUCUUCCCUCUCCUCUGUCCCUUCUGAUCCCUCAGAUCCAGCUUAUAUGCAUUUUUCACAGAUCCUUCCGUGUCUGCCUAACCAAGUCAAACCCCAUGUUAUAAUGUUCGUAGUGCCAUGUACCUCUCCUUUAGAGUGUUUGCUCCUAUGCUAUUUAUGCUGCUCUGUGAUUUUCAGUUAUUGUUCCAAGCCCCCCACUACUCUGUGGGCUUCAUCCAAGAGGAGACCAGGUCUGCAUUGGCUCACCAUUCUUUCUCCAGCACUUAGCAUGAGGCCUGGCACUUAGAAGGGGCUCAAUAAAUAUUGGUUGAAUGAAUAAAUAAAUACAGCAAUGGGGAGCCAGAGAAUAAAGCUUUGCUCAGUCUUAUGCAGUGAACUCUGCGUUCUGUUUAUUGUUGUCUCUGCUGUGUUGGCUCCUGGAAUGACUAUAGUUCUGUCAAAGCUACACUUGUUUUGUUGAGGAACUUGCAAAUUCUGAAAGCUAACCUCCGAUGGUAAAAAUCUAAAACCUGAGUUGCUCAGAGGCUCCCGCUGUCUUAUCACCGGGGGUGACUCAGAGAAAAUGUCCUGAACAAACGCUGGUGUUUGGAGAGGCCCCUUGGAGCCAGCAAUGGAGCUGCCAACUCAUCGUAGGCUGCCCCACCCUCGGCGCCUGUAGACAGGCCCAGCGAGGAGGCCCCUCUGUGUCAUCUUGAAAGCAAAGCAGGACAAGCCAUAACAAAUAUCAUAGGGUGGCCAGCAGUGGCUGCGUCACUGGGAGGAUUGAGUGAGGAAAGGAGGGUUCCCCAUUCAUGAAGGACUCAAAUUUAGACUUUUGACAAUAUCUCUAACUGAGUUACCCACAGUGCCAAGGAGAUCCACUAACAGAACAGAAAGAUGUUGCCAGACGCCACGCCUGUCCCGUGUCCAUCCUCGCCUCCUGCAGCGCACUCUGAAUUCAAGCUUUUAAGAAGUCCUGGAUUUACCUGUGAAUAGCACAGUCGCCUUCUUUUCUUUGUUUGCUUGUGCAUUAAAAGGGCUAAUUUGUUAAGUAGAAUUAUUUUAAGACUUGUCACAGUUUUUGUGGCCCCGUUUUGACAUCUUUUCAUGUUCUAGUAUACUGGGAGCCUUGAAAAAAUUCAAGUAGCCAUGGACCCUCUCUGAGGUGAGCCCCUCUUCCUUCUUAAAGGCCCCAGACUCCCGAAGCCUUUCCCAGCCCCAAACCUUGGAGGUCAGAGUCCCUCAGAAGCUCCUCAAUCCUCCCUCAGGCACCCAGUUUCAGGCUAGUGAGCCUGGAUUGUUGGGGAGCCUUGAUUCUCCUUUCUUAGGGUCUUCAGAUCUUCCUCUCCCUCAGACUCCCUGAUGCCUGAGGCUGAUUUUAAUUAUGGGGAGGAGUUACCUGACAGCAGUGAGCAUUUGUAAUGUAACAUAACUGGAGCUGUAGAUUUGCCCUUUUUACUACAUUCUUCCCUCCCCAUAGCGCGACUUUUUCCAGCUUGUGGCCAAGGAGCCAAUGCUAAUUUUUAUGGCCCAUUUAAGUAACGCAAAAGAUAAGUAAUGUUGGCCCCAUGCACUCCCCCAGGUCCUAGCGGGUUUCACAGAGUGAAUAAUCCCAGGGCUUCGUGUCCUAAGCUCUGCAGCAUAAUACUCAACUCGAUUUUUUCCCCUUUCUUCUUUUGAUAGCGCCUUCCUUAGCUGUGGUUUGAUUAUUUUUAACAUUGCUUCCUGACUUGCUUUUUAAUUUGCAAGAAGCGGCGAGACAGAAAAGGAAGAGGGGAAAAAAAACCCUACAGAGAACAAGCAGUUGGGGUGUACUUCCUGGAAACAUCAGUGGUUUCUGGGUACCCUCUGCAAACAGCACCAAGAAACCAGACACCUGAAGGACCCAAGUCCCUCCACACUAAUGCUGUGGGGCUGACAGGCAGUCACCUGGCCUCCUUCUCCCUACACAUUCCAAGAGACAAGGAGAGGCUGCAGACCCGCCCCCAAGCUGUCUGUGCUAUCCAAGAUCUGCCCGUCUUCUGCCUGGGUUCAUUGUACUGUCCUUUGCAAGUUUGUCUCACCAGCUGCAUUCUGUCUACUCAGAGAGCAGGCAUCAGGUCAUAACCUUCUGUGUCCCUAGUUUGCCAGGCCAGAGAAGGAUCAUGCCAGUUGGUUGACCGAUGCAACCUCAGGUCAUUCCAGAAGCCCAGAACAACUGCAGUUGGACUUCAGUUAUCCAUUCAUCAGAAAGGCAUUUUCUGGAUUUUAGAGGGAAACCAGAAGUUGCUUUCAGCCUUCAUUCAUUCAUUCAUUCAUUCAAUGAGUAUUUAUUGAGCACCUACUCUCUGCCAAGCACUGUGCCAGACACUGGGGACUCAGCAAUGAACAAGACAGAGGGCCUGCUCUCCUGAAGCUUGUGUUCCUGUGCAAGGGAGGACAGGCAAUAAAUAUGUUCAUAGAAAUGGACCAGGUGAUGCUAAGUGCUCAAGGGGACAAAGAAGCAAGAUAAAGGAAGAGAAUAUAAAAGGAGAGGAUGCUGCCAGGUGGUCAGGGCAGGCCAGGAGGUGGGUGAAGCAGAGGAAAUUGGAGGACUUGCACCUGUCAGAGGUCGCAGAUCAAACAGCCAGGCAUGGAGACCCUGCACCCGAGCCGCCUCCCUUCCGUAGUCAGUUUGUGCCACAAUCAGGAAUCCUGGGUCACCCUGGUGGCCUGUAGAGAAUGUGAAUCAUCUUUGGAAGCCAAGGGAGAGAGAAAAGUUCCCUGCCUGUGCAGCCGGAAGAGAGUCUGGGGUAAGAAACGCUCCAUUCACGUCGUCAAUGGAACGUUGUUCUUGCUCAUUACUGAGGAGAGAAAGGGGACCUUCCCCUGUGGUUCAGGGGAAAGAAGGGGCCCCUGUGGGGAGAGAAACCUGCUCUGGUUAUCAGAAAAGAAACACCAACAGGGCCUAGGGGCCUAGAGAAAAGGAAAACGGACCCCACCCAUCAGCGUUCCCUUUGGAAGGGGCCAGAUGGAGACAUUUUAAAAGUGGAUCUCUAAAAAAUACUCCUUCCUUCCUUUUCUCUUUCUCACCAAGUGUUGGCAGAUAGGUAAGGGCUUAUUAUACAACAUGGGGUGACCUAAUGAGCACAGAAUAACUCUCUCGAGUGCAGUUGAAGGAUGUUGCCAUCACACCCCAACCCCUGAGGAGGGAAGCAAUUGCACAGAACCCCACUGUGGAUACCCCAAUAAUGAUAACUGACAUUCCUUGCGUCUAAGCACCAGGCCCUAUGCUUGGUACAGUAACUCCAUUAACCCUCACACCAGACUUGGGUGGUAGGUUUUAUCAUUAUGCCCAUUUUACAGAUGCAGAAGUUAAGGCUCCUGAGUGGAGGACCUUGCAAGGUCACACAGAUGGGAAGUGAUGGAGCUGGGAUUUGAAGGUCUGAGGUUUGACUCUGGAGCCCACGAUUAAACCUCUAUAGUCAACACUGCGCUGUCUGUUGGAUGCUCUUGUGAAUCCAACCCAGCCCUACGUCAGAGCUGGAAAAGUCAAGACGUGUGUAUGCUUUCCUGGUUUUGAUCUGGCCUCUGGGGGUACAAACACCCUGGAGCAUAACUGGGCUGGUUUAGCCUGAGGCUUCUGCCUCAAGUGGAUGCCACCGCACCCCCAGAGCUUCAGGCUGUGCACUUGGAGGACCUGAGAAGUUAUUCAGAUGGGGGAAAUUACCUUAAAAGUUAUACACACCGAGCUCACAUGGUGGAAAUGUCCCGAAUAUUCAUUUAGGUGAUUGUUGCUAUGCAGGUUUGUGGUUGUGAAUGUGCAUCGAGCCAUGUAGUGAAGUCCACUGCAUGGGUAGGGAAGCUCCUGGAAUAAAUUUACAGGAACAAGCCCAUAGCCAUUUUUUACCUUAAGGAUAACCUACUACUUUAUCAUUAGUCCCCAUCCCAGCCCUGGGGCUGUGAUGAUUCAGAAGGUUAUGGUAAGGAUUGAAUGAGAAAAUAUGCUCAGCCCAGCAUAUGUGGAAGCACAGUGACCUUUCUUCUUGUUAUUUUAAAUAUGCCUACUAUUUCCCUUUUCUUCCUUCAGUGUGUGUUGCUUGCAAGGUACCAAGUCAACCACAAGUUCAGUUUAGCUGCAGUGUGCUAGAAGCUGCUGUAAGAGAAGCCCUCUGGGUAUGUGACCAGAGCCCUCUGACCAAGCAACACUGCGUUCUGAUUGGUUGACAUCGCUUGUGGUCUGAGUGGUCUGCACUGCAGUCUGUGAUGUACACGAACAACUCUAUUUCACUCAGUCCAUGCUAGUUUUUAUUUGUUCUAAGUAAAUAUCUGACGAUGUCCGGUUCAAUAGAUUCUGCAGAUGGAAUUCUCCAAACACAGCUAACCGUAGAAGCCACAUGUUCAUUUAGGAUUGUUUUAUUCAGAGGGGAGGAGGGAGUGUGUGUGUCUAGGUGUGUUUAGGAAGUGGUGACAGGGUGCUUUAAGCAGAUCCAGAUCUCCUGCGUACACACGAAGAGACAGUAGCAGGGCAGUUACAGGCACAGUUUCUGAGUCAGAUGUCUGCAUUUCGAUCCUGGAGCUCCCCUGGGAGCUUGAGCAAGUAACUCAUCCUUUCUCUGCCUCAGCUGUCUCACCUAUAAAAUGGGGAUGGUAAUAUCACCCAUGUCAUAGGUUGCUAUGAGGAUUAAAUGAUUUAUAUACAAAAAGCACUUAAAACAGUGUCUGGCAGAUAGUGAGCCUCUGCAAGUGUUAGCUGUUAUUAUUAUUUUCCUCUCUCUUCCCAUGUACCACCUCCCCUACAAUCCAGCCAGAAUAUGCAAGCAAAUGAGUGUGUAUGUGUAUAUGUAUGGACUGGCUUCAUAUAGUACCCUGUUGUUGUUGUUGUUGCUUCAUUUUGUUUCUUAAUAUCCUAAGUAAUACGUGAAUAUAACCUCAUGUUUUUAAAAAACAAAAAACUUCAAACAACGCUGGUGUAGUGGAUUCAAUAAUGUCCCCCAAAAUUCCCAUUCACCUGGAACUUAGGCUGUGACCUUAUUUAGAAAUAGAGUCUUUCAAGAUGUAAUUAGUUGGAUAUCGUGAAAUGAAAUCAUCCUGAUUUAGAGUGGGCUCUAAAUCCCAUGACUGAUGUCCUUUGUGUUAUAAGCUAGUAUGACCUCAGUAAAAUAAAAUUAACAAAAAGGAAAGGAGAGAGCACACACAGACACACAGGGAAGAAGACAAUGUGAUGACGGAGGCAGAGAUUGGAGUGAUGCUGCCACAUGCCAAGGAACACCUGGGACCACCAGGGACCCCAAGGAACACCAAGAAACUAGAAGAAGCAAGGGAGGAUUCUUCUCUAGGCCUUCCUGGCCCUGCUGACACCUUGAUUUUGGAUUUCUAGCCUUCAGAAUUGGGAGAGAAUAAAUUCCUAUUGUUUUCAGCCUCUAGUUUGUGAGAAUUUGUUACCGCAGCCCUAGGAUACUGAUACUGCCAGGAAAGCCAAAGUUACCCCGUCCACAGCACACAGUCUCCCAUCCACCCCUCUCUCAGCAGUAGUGUCACUUUGUUGCCUUUCGAGACCUUUUUCUAUGUCCUGACACACAUCUCCAACAUAUCCAUCUAGUUGACAACAAACACAUUUGGAGAAUGUGGCUAAAUCAUUUUUAUUACAGAAGCCUGACAUUCUGCAGCGUGGAUUGCAGUCCAGCGGCUGUGGACAAGGCCUGCUGCUGCUCCCUGGGGACCUCAGAGACUGUCUCCUGUGUCUCCCAUGAGCAUUGCCUCUGAUUUACAGUAAUGAAGACAAGGAAAUUCUCGAGAACUGUGUCCCAUAGGCUUUCAGGGUAAUUUCAACAACCCUACUUCCUCUUUCUUAUUCAGGUUAUGUUCUGGUCCACCUUAGUCAUCUUCUGCAAAUCUGAUUCAUAUGGGUCCGUUAUAUUAAUAUACGUCCAUUCUCUCUAAGAACUGGAAGCUGCCAUUUGAAGAAUGGCCACAUCUUCCCGCUGUGAGCAUGAUACAUAGUCAUCGAUGACCUGAAAAGGGAUCUUCGCAUACAAAGUUUCGAACUGAAAGAAUAUUAGAAAUCACGUAGGCCAGUGACUCUUAACAAUUUGGGAGUUAUAGCCCCUUUUGAGACUCUGAUAAAAGUCCCCUUCCUUGGACUAUGCACUGAACACAUAAAAUAUAAUCUCAGGCCAGGUAAAAAACCCCCUUGUGCCAGGUUAAAAACCCCCUUGUUUUACAUAUAAGGAAAAUCAGCCUCCAAAAUUAAAGCAAAAAAGGGCUCAGAGGGUUCUGGUGGCAGAGAAAGAACCCAGAUUCUCCAUGCCCCACUACCUCCCUGAGGUUCUCUCUAUCUCAGUCUGAAGACCCCAGUUUGCCAACAGGAGCGACAAAGGUGGAGAAAGGGGCGUGGAGGGCUGCCCUGGAUUGAUGGAGCUGAUGGUCAGAGGAAGGCGAGAGUACAAGGUCUACACCUUGGACACAGAUAGUGGCCAGGACACCACAGUGGGUUCCCGGGACUUAGCACUCCUCCAUUCUCCACUAAGACCAAGACAAAAGAAAAGAACUUUAUAUGAGAGCAACAAGGCCUUGGAUAACACAGAAUUUAUUUUAAGUAACAAUCUUUGCAUUUCUGAAAGAAGUUUAUAUAAUGUCCUCUGCAGGCCUCUUAAAAAUAGAAUAGCAUCUCAUCUUUCUAAGAUAAUUUGAAUGUAGACAGAUACGGAGGCAAGAGGACCGACUAGUCAGAAUCUUAAAUACAUGGUCUGUGUAGGCCAUUCCUGCUUCCUUAGCCCAGAGCAGGCAUCACUCAUCUGCACUGCAGCAUUCUAAACCAGCUCCAGGUAUGGCCUCAGAAUCCUUCAUAACUCAGCACUGGAGAAGUUACUCCCAGUUGGCAAUGAGGUCUGCACCGUAUUCGCCAUCCUACCGCUAAAUGACCUUCCCACAUCAUUCGAGUCUCUUGUGAUUAGCUAUUUCCCUGUAGUCCCAUUUAAACUUUCUGAUGGCUUUCCUUGGUUCAGCAGAGGCCUAGAGACUUCCCCUUCUAGAGUAGUCAUCUCUCCUAGGAUUUCUUCUAACAGCUGUACUCCUACAUUCUUAGUCAUGUGAAAUAACUAAGAGAGCCCUACGUGUUCUUGUGUGUAACUUACUUCAGUUUACACAGACUGUGAAGAUAGCUCUAUACAGGUUUCAAGUUCAAUCUUCUCAUUGCCCGUGGGUCUCGCAUCUUAAUUUUUGAUAUCCUCUUUUGUAUUAGUGACUUCUCUCUCUCUCUGGACUAAAUCUCUAAUGUUUUAUUUUGAAGGAAGAAAAAGCAGACUGACACAAGUCUGUGCUGCAUCACGAAGUUGAGAGACAAUGACAGAGGAAGGAUUGGGUAAACAGUGGAGUCCUAUCGACACAGUGGAAUACUACUUAACAAUGAAAAAAGAACUACUGAUACAUACGACAACUUGAAUGGAGCUCAAGGGCAUUAUGUUGAGUGAAAAAAGCCAGUCUCAAAAGAUCUAUCCAUGUUUUCAAAUUCUUUCAAUAAGUAGAAGAAUGCAUUCCAAGUGGAGGACUAUUAGGAAGAAAGAUCCAGGAUUGAUAUGACCCUGGAAUCAUCUAUGCACUUGAUUCUAAAAUGGAAAAUGUCCUUUAAAUGGAACAGGUUCCAGAUGAUCCUCUGAGGAGCUUCGCUUUGACGUGAAGCUGGACAGAGAUGAUCCAUUGCGAGCCAUUGACUCUGAUCUUCAAGGCUCUUAUUCUCAAAAGUCACAGAAGCAUCACCACAGUUGUCAACCUUUGAAGACUAAGGUAUUGCAACAUCGUGAUGAAGGCAAACUACAGUAGAUGCCAGAGUUGAAGACCAGUCCUCAAACCUCAGGUGGACCCUAGAAAAUCCCUCUGGAGAGACAAAUUCCUGAUGCCAGCCUUAAAACACUGUUCAAACUCUCUCCUUUCACCAGGCUGUAGGGAACAACCAACAGUUUGGCAAAGGACAACUUCCACCACGUUGACUCUGGCCAAUUGAGAUUCUAUUGUCUUCAGAGAAGAAUGCUCACGAGUAUAGAUGCUGAAUAACAUAGUGGAUCUCAAGGAAUUGUCCCCCCAAAUACUUUUUACUUACCAAAGGUAAAAUAAUAAUUUUACAGUGGGGAAACCUGGCAGACACCACCUUAACCAAAUGACCAAAGAUAACCUUGCAGCAAUGGGACUAAUCAGUAUUAGUCCCAUUGUCUCCUCAUAGGACGCUCUGAGAAGAACUCAGCCUUAUUCCUGUGAUAUUCUACCAAAAGCGCAUGACUUGAAUCUAGUCAUAAGGAAACAUCCAACAAAUCUGAGUAGAGGGAGAGUCUACAAAAUAACUGGUCUGUACUCUUCAAAAAUGCCAGUGUCGAGAGAAAGACAGACUCAGGAAACUGUUCCACUUCACAGGAGACUGAAGACACAAGAUGACUUAAUUCAAAUCUUGGAUUGUUUUUGCUGUAAAAGACAUUGUUGGGACAAUUGACAAAAAUCUUAAUAAGCUCUGUAGAUUAGGUAAUAACAUUGUUUCAUUGUUAAUUUCCUGGUUUUGAUCAUUGUCCUAUGGUCACGCAAGGGAAUUCAUGCUUUUAGGAAAUACAGACAAAAGGUCAUCAUAUCUGUGGCUUACUCUUAGAUGGGCAUGAGAGCAAAUGAUGGAAAUGAUGGAAAUGCUCCAUAUCUUGACUGUGGUGGUGGUUACAAUGGUUACACGAACGCACCUAUUUGUCAAAGUUCAUCAAACUUAAAUGCAUGAAUUUUAUUGUUUGUAACCAUACCUCAAUCAAUAAAGCUGAUUUUUUAAAAAUGCUUUUCAUUUUGAUAUUGUAUAUUAUUUUGUGAAGUAACUACUCAAGUAAUAAGUCAUAUGAACUAAUUUUCUGGGUUUUAUGUGUAUAAUUUUGUGUUGAUUGAUUGAUUGCCUAAUCUGAUGCAUGAAAUUCAAUAAAUUGUCACUGAACUGUUAGAA